GUAGGCCUCAAGUUAUGUGUGACAACCCC
rnacentral:rRNA from 2 species